AAUUCAGGGGACGCAUCCUUCGAAGGCUGCAUUCGAAGGAUGCGUCGACGCCGAUUGCGUCACAGCGACGCGCCAAGUGCUGUCCCAAUUCCAAGGGUCCUUCAAAUGCGGCCUACGAAUGCAGCCUUCUUUUCCCGGAUUUUAAGGAUGCAUCGGCUGUAUCCUUCGCGGCCCAACGUAUCCCAAGAUCCUUCACGGCCCAACGUAUCCCUCCCAAGAUUCAUUGCGCAGUCAAUCCAAAAAAUAAAACAAUAAUGGCGGAGAAUGUGGAUUUGACUUUUUCAUUUAAAUGUAUUGGAUUGGGACAGAGGCAUUCCACCAACCCCCCUGUCCUAAUUGCCUCCAUCCCUGAGAACACACCAGGGCCAAGUACAGCAGUGGUGGAUCAGGAGGUGGAGGACAAGGAUCAGGAGGAGGAAAGACAGCGAGGGCCAAGGU
ensembl:lncRNA